GACGAACGCUGGCGGCGUGCCUAAUACAUGCAAGUUGAGCGCUGAAGGUUGGUACUUGUACCAACUGGAUGAGCAGCGAACGGGUGAGUAACGCGUGGGGAAUCUGCCUUUGAGCGGGGGACAACAUUUGGAAACGAAUGCUAAUACCGCAUAAAAACUUUAAACACAAGUUUUAAGUUUGAAAGAUGCAAUUGCAUCACUCAAAGAUGAUCCCGCGUUGUAUUAGCUAGUUGGUGAGGUAAAGGCUCACCAAGGCGAUGAUACAUAGCCGACCUGGGAGGGUGGUCGGCCACCUUGGGACUGAGACCCGGCCCAAACUCCUACGGGAGGCAGCCGUGGGGAAUCUUCGGCAAUGGACGAAAGUCUGACCGAGCAACGCCGCGGGAGUGAAGAAGGUUUUCGGAUCGUAAAACUCUGUUGGUAGAGAAGAACGUUGGUGAGAGUGGAAAGCUCAUCAAGUGACGGUAACUACCCAGAAAGGGACGGCUAACUACGUG
rnacentral:rRNA from 1 species